ACGCUGGCGGCGCGCCUAACACAUGCAAGUCGAACGAGCAAGAGGAGCUUGCUUCUCUGAGCGAGUGGCGAACGGGUGAGUAACGCGUGAGGAACCUGGCCUCAAAGAGGGGGACAACAGUUGGAAACGACUGCUAAUACCGCAUAAGCCCACGGGUCGGCAUCGACCAGAGGGAAAAGGAGCAAUCCGCUUUGAGAUGGCCUCGCGUCCGAUUAGCUGGUUGGUGAGGUAACGGCCCACCAAGGCGACGAUCGGUAGCCGGACUGAGAGGUUGAACGGCCACAUUGGGACUGAGACACGGCCCAGACUCCUACGGGAGGCAGCAGUGGGGAAUAUUGCACAAUGGGGGAAACCCUGAUGCAGCGACGCCGCGUGGAGGAAGAAGGUCUUCGGAUUGUAAACUCCUGUUGUUGAGGAAGAUAAUGACGGUACUCAAUAAGGAAGUGACGGCUAACUACGUG
rnacentral:rRNA from 1 species